rnacentral:lncRNA from 1 species
GAUGAGGAAGUGAACAACGUUUGAACAAAAAAUUAAAUUUUCACUAUAGUCCAGGCAUCACACAGAGACUCAACAAAAACUAAAGCUCUUCUUCACUUCGAAAAUAAAACUCCGGUACUCACCGCCGAUCUAGAGUUGCAUGUCUAGAACAACAUACUGCGCACCACCAAUCAAGAUCCACAAAAUCACAUUGGACAUUGGAGAUCGUGGCUAGAAAAUUUGGAGUUUCAUUGCAACGUGAAUAGCGUCGGGACGACGAUAAUGGUG